UUUUUUAAGAGUUUGAUCCUGGCUCAGGAUGAAUGCUAGCAGUGCGCCUGAGAUAUGCAAGUCGAGCGUUGCCUUGAGAGAGCUUGCUCUUGAGAGGAAGCGGCGGACGGCUGAGUAACACGUAGGAUCUCCCCUAGGUAAAGAAUAGCUCACCGAAAGGUGGGGUAAUGCUUUAUGGUCUCCGAUUUUUCGGAGUAAAGUCUUCGGACGCAAAGGAUGAACCUGCGGCCUAUCAGGUAGUUGGUGAGAUAAUAGCUUCACCAAGCCUAUGACGGGUAGCUGGCCUCAUGAGGGUGGUCAGCCAGAGGGGACUGAGACACGGCCCCACUCCUACGGGAGGCAGCAAUCAGGAAUCGUCGGCAAUGGGGGAAACCUGACCGCGCGACACUGCGUGUAGGAAGAAGCUCGAAAGAGUGUAAACUACUGUGGUACAGGAAGAAGUCUUCGGAUUGACGGUACUGUACUAGAAAGGGGCCGCUAAUUGCGUGCCAGAAGCGUCGGUAAUACGUGAGCCCCAAGCAUUAUCCGGUUUAAUUGGGCGUAAAGGGUCGUGUAGGUGGACAGGUAAGUUAUCUUUUAAAUCCAGAGGCUCAACCUCUGAUCUGGAGGUAAUACUCCCUGUCUAGAAUUUUCUUUAGGUAAGCGGAACUGAGUGAGUAGUAGUGAAAUGCGUUGAUACACUCGGGAACACCAGUGGCGAAGGCGGCUUACUGGAAGAAGAUUGACACUGAGACACGAAAGCUAGGGUAGCGAAGCAGAUUAGAGACCUGCGUAGUCCUAGCCCUAAACGAAUGUUCGCUGGCUGCAUUGGCCAACUUUAUGUUGUCCGGUGUGGCGAAGGUAACCCGUUAAGCGAACCGCCUGGGGAGUACGGCCGCAAGGCUAAAACUCAAAGGAAUUGGCGGGGAGGCACACAACCAGUGGAACAUGUGGCUUAAUUCGAGACAAACCGAAGAACCUCACCAGGGUUUGACAUGCAACUGCUCGUCCUAUGAAAGUAGGAUUCUUUCGAAGGUGUUGCACAGGUGCUGCAUGGCUGUCGUCAGUUCGUUCCGUGAGGAGUGCCCUUAAGUGGGACAACGAACGCAACCCCCAUCGUAUGUUACAAGUGUCAUACGAAACUGCCCAAGUCUGACUUGGGAGGAAGGAGGGGCAGAUGUCAAGUCAGCAUGGUCCUUAUACCCUGGGCUGCACACAUGUUACAAUGGGAUGGACAAUGGGUUUUGCAAACUCGCGAGAGUAAGCGAAUCCCACAAACCAUCUCUCAGUUGGGAUUGAAGUCUGCAAUUCGACUUCAUGAACGCGGAAUUGGUAGUAAUCGUGGAUCAGCUACGCCACGGUGAAUACGUUCUUGCCUCUUGCACACACCGCCCGUCAAGCCAACAAAGUCGUUGGUAUUCGAACCUCGUGUUUACACGGGGGAGAGUACUGAUGGCGAUGAGGGUUAAGUCGUAACAAGGUAUCCGUUCUGGAAGGAGCGGAUGGAUCACCUCCUUU
rnacentral:rRNA from 1 species